UAUGCAGAUGUAGUGCAGUUGAAGAAAUAAUAUUUAUAGAUCUGAUGAUGAGCGAUGGAUCGAAUUUCCAGCAAAGUCAAAUCAAAUUUCUUACAGACUGACUCAAAUACCAAAAUACCAAUAGAUUUACAAGAACUCGCAGUUAGGUCAUAGGAUAGCCCAUGAUUCUUUUCCACCAUUAUGGACAUUUGAUCAAGGGUUCAAAGGUGACUUCUAAUAUGACACCACCCCAAUGGGGAAGUUCCUGUCUCCUGGCAAGGAAAGGUGUGUUCAUAUUGACU